GGGGAUGUAGCUCAGUGGUAGAGCGUCCGCUUUGCAUGCUAAAGGUCCGGGGUUUAAUCCCCUGCAUCUCCA